rnacentral:lncRNA from 1 species
CCCUCAUGCUUGGUGAUACGCCAUUACGCGCCGCUACAAUGGCGUGUAUCCAUCAGGUGGGAUCCAAUCGCAGAUAUUUCCUUCCACCGGUCUGGCCCAAGAGCUCAUUCGUUUCAUCCUGGGCGAGUGUUAAUGGUCGGGCUGGUUGGAAAGUGACCAACAGAAUAGUGACAGCAGUAAUAGGCCCCGGGGGUUCCGGCGCUUUGCUGUGUUUAACAGGGCGUACAUUAUUGACGCCUAUCGCGCGGAGGAGGGCAG